CCCUUAGAUGUUCUGGGCCGCACGCGCGCUACACUGACGAUGGCAACGAGUUUUUCCUUCGCCGAAAGGUGUGGGUAAUCUUUUGAAACAUCGUCGUGCUGGGGAUAGAUCAUUGCAAUUUUUGAUCUUGAACGAGGAAUUCCUAGUAAGCGCGAGUCAUCAGCUCGCGUUGAUUACGUCCCUGCCCUUUGUACACACCGCCCGUCGCUACUACCGAUUGAAUGGUUUAGUGAGGACUCCUGAUUGGCGCCGCCGCCCCGGCAACGGAGCAGCGGACUGCCGAAAAGUUGUUCAAACCUGAUCAUUUAGAGGAAGUAAAAGUCGUAACA
rnacentral:rRNA from 1 species